rnacentral:rRNA from 1 species
AACAAACGCUGGCGGCGUGUCUUAAGCAUGCAAGUUGAGCGGCAAGGGGGAGCGAUCCCCCCUAGAGCGGCGGACUGGUGAGUAACACGUGGAUGAUCUACCCGAGGCAUGGGGAUAGUCACUAGAAAUAGUGGGUAAUACCGAAUACGGUGCGCAUCGUGAGGGUGCGCAAGAAAGGUGCUACGGCACCGGCCUAGGAUGAGUCUGCGUCCCAUUAGCUGGUUGGUGAGGUAAGAGCCCACCAAGGCGAUGAUGGGUAGCCGGCCUGAGAGGGUGUACGGCCACACUGGGACUGAGAUACGGCCCAGACUCCUACGGGAGGCAGCAGCUAAGAAUAUUCCGCAAUGGACAAAAGUCUGACGGAGCGACGCCGCGUGGAUGAAGAAGGCCGAAAGGUUGUAAAGUUCUUUUGUUGGGGAAGAAUAACCAUGGGAGGGAAUGCCCGUGGGAUGACAUGAACCGACGAAUAAGCCCCGGCUAACUACGUGCCAGCAGCCGCGGUAACACGUAGGGGGCGAGCGUUGUUCGGAAUUACUGGGCGUAAAGGGCAUGUAGGCGGUCUUGUAAGCUUGGCGUGAAAGACCACGGCUCAACCGUGGGAUUGCGUUGAGAACUGCGAGGCUUGAGUGACGGAGAGGGAGCUAGAAUUCCUGGUGUAGGGGUGGAAUCUGUAGAGAUCAGGAAGAAUACCAAUGGCGAAAGCAAGCUCCUGGCCGAUGACUGACGCUGAGGUGCGAAAGUGUGGGGAUCAAACAGGAUUAGAUACCCUGGUAGUCCACACUGUAAACGAUGUGCACUAGGUGCUGGUACGGAUGUAUCAGUGCCGUAGCUAACGUGAUAAGUGCACCGCCUGGGGAGUAUGCUCGCAAGGGUGAAAUCAAAGGAA